rnacentral:rRNA from 1 species
UGCGUAGGUGGCGUGUUCAGUCAGUGGUGAAAGCCUACAGCUUAACUGUAGAGGUGCCAUUGAUACUGACAUGCUUGAGUAUGGACGAGGUAGGCGGAAUUUGUGGUGUAGCGGUGAAAUGCAUAGAUACCACAAGGAACACCGAUAGCGAAGGCAGCUUACUGGACCAUAACUGACACUGAGGCACGAAAGCGUGGGGAGCGAACAGGAUUAGAUACCCUGGUAGUCC